UACGAAGGGGGGCUAGCGUUGCUCGGAAUGACUGGGCGUAAAGGGCGCGUAGGCGGCUUGCACCGUCAGAUGUGAAAUUCCUGGGCUCAACCUGGGGGCUGCGUUUGAUACGUGCGGACUUGAGUGCGGAAGAGGGUCGUGGAAUUCCCAGUGUAGAGGUGAAAUUCGUAGAUAUUGGGAAGAACACCGGUGGCGAAGGCGGCGACCUGGUCCGAUACUGACGCUGAGGCGCGAAAGCGUGGGGAGCAAACAGG
rnacentral:rRNA from 1 species